rnacentral:rRNA from 1 species
UAUUGGACAAUGGGGGCAACCCUGAUCCAGCAAUGCCGCGUGUGUGAAGAAGGCCUGAGGGUUGUAAAGCACUUUCAGUGGGCCCCCCAAGGUUGAAGGUUAAGAGCUAUUGACUGUGACGUUACCCACAGAAGAAGCACCGGCUAACUCCGUGCCAGCAGCCGCGGUAAUACGGAGGGUGCAAGCGUUAAUCGGAAUUACUGGGCGUAAAGGGUGCGUAGGUGGUUUAUUAAGUUAUCUGUGAAAUCCCCGGGCUUAACCUGGGAAUGGGGCCUGUGACUGUAUAGCUAGAGUGUGUCAGAGGGGGGUAGAAUUCCACGUGUAGCAGUGAAAUGCGUAGAUAUGUGGAGGAAUACCAAUGGCGAAGGCAGCCCCCUGGGAUAACACUGACGCUCAUGCACGAAA